rnacentral:lncRNA from 1 species
GACAGUUGAAUGGCCAGCAUGUGAACUGGAAUAAUGAAGUGAGUGGUGUUAACAUUCAGCAUUUUGGAUGAAUGUUCAUUACUGAAAUGUUAGUCAAAAUGUCCUUAAACAUAAAGAGGGGCGUUCUUAAAAACAUUUAUCUCUAUCCUUGAAACUCUUAAACUGCUUAAACCAGAGGGAUCAGAUCACUGGGAAUCAGGAUCCCUGAUGGGAAACGAGAUUUCCCAUUCGACAAAUGUAGGAAAGCAUUUGUCAAGCUGUCCGUAACUUACAGUGAACAAUGGCAUG